rnacentral:rRNA from 1 species
AGUCGAGCGGUAGCACAGAGAGCUUGCUCUCGGGUGACGAGCGGCGGACGGGUGAGUAAUGUCUGGGAAACUGCCUGAUGGAGGGGGAUAACUACUGGAAACGGUAGCUAAUACCGCAUAAUGUCGCAAGACCAAAGUGGGGGACCUUCGGGCCUCAUGCCAUCAGAUGUGCCCAGAUGGGAUUAGCUAGUAGGUGGGGUAACGGCUCACCUAGGCGACGAUCCCUAGCUGGUCUGAGAGGAUGACCAGCCACACUGGAACUGAGACACGGUCCAGACUCCUACGGGAGGCAGCAGUGGGGAAUAUUGCACAAUGGGCGCAAGCCUGAUGCAGCCAUGCCGCGUGUGUGAAGAAGGCCUUCGGGUUGUAAAGCACUUUCAGCGGGGAGGAAGGCGUUAAGGUUAAUAACCUUGUCGAUUGACGUUACCCGCAGAAGAAGCACCGGCUAACUCCGUGCCAGCAGCCGCGGUAAUACGGAGGGUGCAAGCGUUAAUCGGAAUUACUGGGCGUAAAGCGCACGCAGGCGGUCUGUCAAGUCGGAUGUGAAAUCCCCGGGCUCAACCUGGGAACUGCAUUCGAAACUGGCAGGCUAGAGUCUUGUAGAGGGGGGUAGAAUUCCAGGUGUAGCGGUGAAAUGCGUAGAGAUCUGGAGGAAUACCGGUGGCGAAGGCGGCCCCCUGGACAAAGACUGACGCUCAGGUGCGAAAGCGUGGGGAGCAAACAGGAUUAGAUACCCUGGUAGUCCACGCCGUAAACGAUGUCGAUUUGGAGGUUGUGCCCUUGAGGCGUGGCUUCCGGAGCUAACGCGUUAAAUCGACCGCCUGGGGAGUACGGCCGCAAGGUUAAAACUCAAAUGAAUUGACGGGGGCCCGCACAAGCGGUGGAGCAUGUGGUUUAAUUCGAUGCAACGCGAAGAACCUUACCUGGUCUUGACAUCCACAGAACUUUCCAGAGAUGGAUUGGUGCCUUCGGGAACUGUGAGACAGGUGCUGCAUGGCUGUCGUCAGCUCGUGUUGUGAAAUGUUGGGUUAAGUCCCGCAACGAGCGCAACCCUUAUCCUUUGUUGCCAGCGGUUCGGCCGGGAACUCAAAGGAGACUGCCAGUGAUAAACUGGAGGAAGGUGGGGAUGACGUCAAGUCAUCAUGGCCCUUACGACCAGGGCUACACACGUGCUACAAUGGCAUAUACAAAGAGAAGCGACCUCGCGAGAGCAAGCGGACCUCAUAAAGUAUGUCGUAGUCCGGAUUGGAGUCUGCAACUCGACUCCAUGAAGUCGGAAUCGCUAGUAAUCGUAGAUCAGAAUGCUACGGUGAAUACGUUCCCGGGCCUUGUACACACCGCCCGUCACACCAUGGGAGUGGGUUGCAAAAGAAGUAGGUAGCUUAACCUUCGGGAGGGCGCU